GAGAGGCGCUGUCAUCUCGCCAUAAUGAUAAUGACCUCAGGCCACUGCUGUCAACUCCAGGGGAAGAUAUUGCACCAUAAUAUAAACAAUAGCUGCAGACUUGGCAGAGGAAUCCUGUAGAGCUUCAGUGUCAGAGUCAUGUUUUCACAGGCUGAAUGCAAAUCAUUAAAUCAUUAAAAGCCGUGGCUUUGACACUGAAUAUCACCAUCACUCCUUUACCAUAAGCAACGCAAUGAAUGCUGCUGAUUGUCACACCUGCAACUGGAUAGGGACGUGAGCUGGUGGUAUAAAUUAUAUAGACCAAGCCAACUCUCUAACAUAAAGUUUGAGAUGAGCCCUUGUAGUCUUUAUGGAGUGCUGAAGGCAGAGAGACACUUAGACAGCUUGGAGAGAGAGAGAGAAAGAGGCAACAGAAGUGCAUAGAGAGGGAUGCGAGUGUGGGUGAAGGAAAGAGUGAGGAGUGAGAGACGGAUAGGGGCAGGAGAGAGGUGUUGUCCAGACCAGAAGGGGCCUCUGAAAGUGUUGCAUAGAAACAACGCCCUCGCAUCUGGCUGGACCCCCGGUAGUGCCAGGAAGCAUGCCAGGAAUGCAAGGAAUGGCUCAGUGAACGAUAAGAAGGAAAUACCCUGCAGCAGAGUGGACUGAAAGCCCAGAAACAACAGGCGCAUGGACAAUCACUGGGAAGAAAAUGAAAGGGAUGACGACAAAGAGUGGGAUGGAAGGGGAUGGAACAGGAUGCCUGGACAGACAUAGGUCUAGGUUUGACACUAAGACAAUAAACACAGUGACAGCGGCUAUCCAAAGAAGCAGAGACUGAUGACGAAGAUGGAGUGGUGACACAUGAAAAGGGGAAAGGAGAGGAAUGGAAUGGGAUACGUGGGUGGGGAUGACUGGAUUGAGAUAGGUGAAACUGUCAUGGAGAAAAGAGCUAAUGACCAUCGAUAGAGAUGGAUGGGAUGGAGUAGGAUUAGAAAAAACAAAGGGAUGGAAGAGAAUGACGAAACAAAGAUAGUGACCGUAAAGACGUAAAACAGACUAUCUAAAGGGUGUUGGGCUAAGGGCGAGGGAAUACUGUGGGACAGGAAGAAAACAUAAGAGAUAGCGACAUGUCACAGGAAAGGCGAACCCCUUUAAUCAGGCCCUGAUUGGGUGACAGUGAGUGGGAAGAGGAGGAGACACAAAAGACACACCACACAGGAAGAUUUUUGGCUGGUGAGUCCCUGAGUUUGACUGACAGCACCUCUUUAUGACUCACUGACCCGGCUUUUCUACUGUCUCCCACACACUGUGCCAUCUGCAGCGGCUUUCAAGCUCAGUUUUGAACACCGAAUGCAACAUGGCCAAACCCUGAUCCAGAUUACCCUCCUCUUUGUAGUGACCUACUAAAUCUGAAGUUACAUCAGUGUCUACUAACAAGCCAAGUCCCUUUGUCUGACUGCUGGUGCUGAUUUGGGGGCAGCUAGUCGGUAAUUGUUUUGAGCUGCUAAAUUGCACCAGGAGGGAUUGGAUUACCUACCACCAGGGUAGUCCCCCUCCUCAAUGUUUCCCUGUUUCCCCCGGAUUACAUCAGAGUUUAUGCUCCCUCAUCUGUGAGUAAGCACAUACCUCACAGUCGAGGGGAGGCCUGAAACACGUCUAAUGUUUCAGGACAGAAAGGUAGAUAAUAGGAUAUAUGGAGGUGGGCAGGAAGUGUAAAGAGUCAUCUGUGCAUGUUUUUCUAUUCAUUUCUUAUGGAAAGAUAAGAGAUAGGUUGAUGGUGAUCAAAUUUCUUAAUAUGCAUCCUGUCCUGUGUAUCUGUGUGCAUGUGCGCUUGCGUGAGUUCUUAUUGUUCAUAUCUGGCCUAAACCCAGUUUUUUUCUGUAUUCAGAUCAUAAAUAAUGAAGGAAAUGAAACAUUAUCCAUAUAAAACUCCCCAGGGUGCCUUAUCUUGUAUGACAUUGAUUCAUGCCUGUAAUAUCAUGAUCACAGCACAGACCUCUGCCAAUUACAAUAAGAAAAUCGACUUGGAUAAACAAUAUUCCGGCCACAAUCUGGGCUGCUUUUCUCAAAAGCUACGUACUAAUUAAUCUUCAAAGCGAAAAGCAUUCUUGCAUGACAAAGCAAGUCCUGUAAGUAGCCACUCAAAGAACACUUUCCUAGGUCAGAUCAACAUUGUAAAGCUCAAUCGAGACACGGUAAGUGCAGAACAAUAUGAUGAGGGACAGCACAUGAAAUUAUUUGUGCUUUAUGGUGUGGUUGCACAGAACAAAAUUGGGGUCACAAUUCAAUCCAGUGAAUGCGGACAGUUCUGCCUCACUCUAGCACUUUUGGGUCAAAACCUCACAUAAUGACUUGGUGUGGUUCCUUGGCUUUUCGACCCAUCUGAAACAGCUGACACAAGGCAGAUAGGUGGGUGUGUGAGUUUUGAGGUGAGGCAGUGAAAGGCUCAGGCCGUGCAGACAAGGAGAGGUAACUCUGUUUUUUUGGUAACUGCAUUAAAAAGAACCCCUGGGAAGUUUGGACCUCUUACAGCUGAGGUGGAGCCUGGGGCAGCCAAGCAGCAGGGAGAAUGUUUUCAUGUGUUUAUGUAUGUGUUUUCCUUCACUACUGGGACUUAUAUGUAUAUGGCCGCAGGGCUUUCUCUCAGGUCCGCAGCUGAGUGUGACGGGGGUUCACUCAGGGGUAUAGGAACAGGCUCCGGGGACGACCUGUGGAACACCCCAGUUAUCCUCCAGGGAGCGAUGCUAUUUAGGUGCGGUCCCCCACCACCCUUCACCUCCAAUGUGCCGAAUCAGUGGAAGGCAGAAACCCAGAGAGUAUCCCUGACACUAAUAUGGAAAAAAGCCUGUUUGGAGCGAAUAUAAGGGCAAAUAUUAUUCUUCCUGAGCGUAACCACGGCGAGCACCUCUGACCUGGCAGUGAAAGUGCUGAAACAAAAAGCCCAAAGACUUUUUCUGCUCCAUCAAAGGAGAGCUACAUAAAAUAAACAUGGCCAUCAGAUUACCACGCUGAACACGGGGCCACGUUAGCCUACACUGGCCGCCCUGCCGCCCAACCCCAUAGCUCUAUGGGAGUUAAGUGUGGGGUCCGCUCAGUCAACACCAUGACGCAAAAUGGAACAAGCCUCUGACAGAAGCCCCAGGCUGAUGGAAUAAGGCCCCUACCCACAGGCCCACAGGCCCCCCGGCCCGAGAGAAACAUACUGAGCGAGAAUGAGAGAGAGAGAGA